CCUAACAUUAGAUGCCUUGAAGGUGUGGCUGCUGUGUCACAUGUGCUUGAGAAGGUGACAGAGAGGAAAGGGUCUUUGUCUACACUCAGUAUUAUGACCUAUGAAUAUCUGAAUAAUUAGUAGACUAACUAA